GCUGGAGAACUGAGGGGGGCUGCUCCUAGUACGAGAGGACCGGAGUGGACGCAUCACUGGUGUUCGGGUUGUCAUGCCAAUGGCACUGCCCGGUAGCUAAAUGCGGAAGAGAUAAGUGCUGAAAGCAUCUAAGCACGAAACUUGCCCCGAGAUGAGUUCUCCCUGACUCCUUGAGAGUCCUGAAGGAACGUUGAAGACGACGACGUUGAUAGGCCGGGUGUGUAAGCGCAGCGAUGCGUUGAGCUAACCGGUACUAAUGAACCGUGAGGCUUAACCUUACAACGCCGAAGCUGUU
rnacentral:rRNA from 1 species